GCAUCAGUAGUGUAAUAGAUCAGCACGCCAGACCGAAUAUAUGCAAGUGCGGGUUCGAGUCCCGCCUGAGAUC
rnacentral:tRNA from 1 species